rnacentral:RNase_P_RNA from 1 species
GCGAUGAACCAGACUGCCGCGGGGCGGCUGUUUUUACCAGGCGGUGUCCGGUGAAACGGCUGGCCCUGAGGAAAGUCCGGGCUCCGCAGGGCAUGAUGCCGGGUAACGCCCGGGCGGGAAGGGCGAAAGUCUUUUCCGACAGAGAGCGCAGCAGAAAACAUACAGCCCCGGAAGCUGUCCGGCAGCGGGCGGUUCUCCGGGGUAAUGGUGAAAUGGCAGGGUAAGAGCCUACCGCGGAAGCGGCAACGUUUCCGGCACGGCAAGCCUCAUCAGGAGCAAAGUCAAGCAGCGGCAAAACGGCCCGUUUAACGCCGCGGGUAGACUGCGUAGAUGUUUUCCGUGAGGAACACGCAAGAUAGAUGGCAGUAAUAAAACAGAACCCGGCUUAUGGUUCAUCGCUUUU